rnacentral:rRNA from 1 species
AGUGAACGCUGGCGGUAGGCCUAACACAUGCAAGUCGAACGGCAGCACAGUAAGAGCUUGCUCUUACGGGUGGCGAGUGGCGGACGGGUGAGGAAUACAUCGGAAUCUACUUUUUCGUGGGGGAUAACGUAGGAAAACUUACGCUAAUACCGCAUACGACCUACGGGUGAAAGCAGGGGAUCUUCGGACCUUGCGCGAUUGAAUGAGCCGAUGUCGGAUUAGCUAGUUGGCGGGGUAAAGGCCCGCCAAGGCGACGAUCCGUAGCUGGUCUGAGAGGAUGAUCAGCCACACUGGAACUGAGACACGGUCCAGACUCCUACGGGAGGCAGCAGUGGGGAAUAUUGGACAAUGGGCGCAAGCCUGAUCCAGCCAUACCGCGUGGGUGAAGAAGGCCUUCGGGUUGUAAAGCCCUUUUGUUGGGAAAGAAAAGCAGCAGGUUAAUACCCCGCUGUUCUGACGGUACCCAAAGAAUAAGCACCGGCUAACUUCGUG